rnacentral:rRNA from 1 species
GACGAACGCUGGCGGCGUGCUUAACACAUGCAAGUCGAACGGAAAGGCCCUGCUUGCAGUGUACUCGAGUGGCGAACGGGUGAGUAACACGUGGGUGAUCUGCCCUGCACUUCGGGAUAAGCCUGGGAAACUGGGUCUAAUACCGGAUAGGAGCCAUUUUUAGUGUGAUGGUUGGAAAGUUUUUUCGGUGUAGGAUGAGCUCGCGGCCUAUCAGCUUGUUGGUGGGGUAAUGGCCUACCAAGGCGGCGACGGGUAGCCGGCCUGAGAGGGUGGACGGCCACACUGGGACUGAGAUACGGCCCAGACUCCUACGGGAGGCAGAAGUGGGGAAUAUUGCACAAUGGGCGCAAGCCUGAUGCAGCGACGCCGCGUGGGGGAUGACGGCCUUCGGGUUGUAGACUCCUUUCGCUAGGGACGAAGCUUUUUGUGACGGUACCUAGAUAAGAAGCACCGGCUAACUACGUG